GGCAUAUCAAUAAGCGGAGGAAAAGAAACCAACAGGGAUUGCCCCAGUAACGGCGAGUGAAGCGGCAACAGCUCAAAUUUGAAAUCUGGCCCCAGGCCCGAGUUGUAAUUUGCAGAGGAUGCUUUUGGCGCGGUGCCUUCCGAGUUCCCUGGAACGGGACGCCAUAGAGGGUGAGAGCCCCGUACGGUUGGACACCAAGCCUUUGUAAAGCUCCUUCGACGAGUCGAGUAGUUUGGGAAUGCUGCUCUAAAUGGGAGGUACAUUUCUUCUAAAGCUAAAUAUUGGCCAGAGACCGAUAGCGCACAAGUAGAGUGAUCGAAAGAUGAAAAGCACUUUGAAAAGAGGGUUAAACAGCACGUGAAAUUGUUAAAAGGGAAGCGCUUGUGACCAGACUUGCGUCCGGUGAAUCACCCAGCUCUCGCGGCUGGGGCACUUCGCCGGCACAGGCCAGCAUCAGCUUGCCGUCGGGGACAAAAGCUUCAGGAACGUGGCUCCUCUCGGGGAGUGUUAUAGCCUGUUGCAUAAUACCCUUCGGCGGGCUGAGGUACGCGCUCCGCAAGGAUGCUGGCGUAAUGGUCAUCAGCGACCCGUCUUGAAACACGGACCAAGGAGUCAACCUUAUGUGCGAGUGUUUGGGUGUUAAACCCCUACGCGUAAUGAAAGUGAACGCAGGUGAGAGCUUCGGCGCAUCAUCGACCGAUCCUGAUGUUCUCGGAUGGAUUUGAGUAAGAGCAUAUAGGGUUGGACCCGAAAGAAGGUGAACUAUGCGUGUGUAGGGUGAAGCCAGAGGAAACUCUGGUGGAGGCUCGCAGCGGUUCUGACGUGCAAAUCGAUCGUCAAACAUGCGCAUGGGGGCGAAAGACUAAUCGAACCUUCUAGUAGCUGGUUUCCGCG
rnacentral:rRNA from 1 species